UCCCCUGCGGGUCCCCGCGCCCCGGCCUCGCAGGCUCCUGGGGUCUCGCCCCGCCCUGCCCAGCCCUGGCGGCGGCCGGCCCCACCAGCCCCUCCUCCGGGCCUCCUCCUCCUCCGGUGUGUUCCCGGGAGCUGGCUGCCGGGCCCUGCUGCGCUUCCCUCCCACUCCCCGCCCGCCCGCAGACCGGCUGGGCCCCCUCAGUCAGCCCCAGGCUGGGCUCUGCUUAUUAGGGAGCCCCACUGCUUACAGACCAGAAGGUAACCUGAUCCUUUCCUGGCCAACCCAGGAAACACAUGGAUUUCUGCAGCCCGGGCUGCCCACUUCAAGGUCAGGCCCCGCUGCUCCCUACAGCCUGGCCCCUCCGGGCUCAAGGGGAAGAUGAAGGAGGAGCCUGCCAGGGAGUUUCAGACUGAGGGUCCCGAGUGUCCUCCAAGCAGAGCCCACACAGCCUCACCCACUGGUCUCCACAGAGUGGAGACAGGACGUGGCCUAAGAGUAAUUUGCCAUCCAUACACCUGGUCACUUGGGGAACAAGAAUGCUGCCAACCCCAGGCAGAGCCCUGGAAGUCCCAGGCAAAUCCUGCCCCGGCCUUCUCAGACCCCUUUCUGUUCCACAUCCUACUGCAGAGGGGUUAAGACUGGGCCUCAAGUUCUGGGAUUGUUUCCUGCGUGAAUUUCUUUCUACCUCCUGCACAGACAGCUUCCUUGGGCCCGGAGGCCUCCCUGAAUGGCUUCCCUAACUGGGAAGCAGGGGCGCUGGUGAAGUUGACUAGUCUCUCAGAGAAUGUUGCUUUUCUAUCAUCUGUCUGGGGACAUCCUCAACAUGACAACAUGAUUUCCAGAAAGAGCUUACCAGGCAUCCUGAGUUGGUACCUAAGCAGAAGUAGAAAUCAACUUAACAGAGGCAGGUGGAUCUCUGUGAGUUCAAGGCCAGCCUGGUCUACAUAGUAAUUUUCGAAGGAACAUAAAGCCAUUUACAGCCAAAAAUGUUGCAGCGCACACAUCACUAUGAGUGAGAGCCAAGGAAAUGCCAGGCUGCACAAUCACAUCUGGAAACUGACAGUGGCAUUAUUGGGGACAAAAUAAUGGCGUUUUGAAUUUGAAGAAAUUAAAAAAAAAAAAACAUACAAGAGACUGGAAAUAUGUACAGAUG